rnacentral:rRNA from 1 species
UACAGAGGGGGGCAAGCGUUGUUCGGAAUUACUGGGCGUAAAGGGCGCGUAGGCGGCCCGCUAAGUCGAACGUGAAAUCCCCAGGCUCAACCUGGGAACUGCGUCCGAUACUGGCAGGCUUGAAUCCGGGAGAGGGAUGUGGAAUUCCAGGUGUAGCGGUGAAAUGCGUAGAUAUCUGGAGGAACACCGGUGGCGAAGGCGGUUCUCUGGGCAUGUCCUGACGCUGAGGAGCGAAAGUGUGGGGAGCGAACAGG